GCAUGUAAUACUACAGUAGAAUGGGUACUGGCGUGUAAUACUACAGUAGAAUGGAUACUAGCGUGUAAUACUACAGGAAAAUGGGUACUGGCGUGUAAUACUACAGCAACCCAAUAUGAUUAGUUAUGAAGUAUUUCCUUGCAGUACUUUGAGUAUUUGAUUUUGCCAACAGAAGUGUGUCAAUCACAAAGUAUAAAAAUGAAACAUGAUUUUUUUUUCUUCAUUGAUACAAAAACAAGAAAAUUUGAGGCCAAAUGAUUUCAACUUUAAUGUUGUUAAUUAUUAUGAUGUGUUAUUUUGAAGUCAUUGUGUGGUGUUGUAUUAUAUUUAUAUCUUUAGUGUACAGUUGAUGCAGGGCAGUAUUCAUUCCACUUUUACUGGCGUAAAAAUAUUCCUUUUUUUUUUACACGUUGACCUUUUGUCCCUCCUGUCUGUGAAAAGUGCUGAGUCGUGUCAAAUGUCAGCAUGUGACCCAGCAGUGGGAUCUUGGGUCUUUCCUUUUGUGUUUGCCAACAUGAUCAUGUCAAUAACUUGCACCACUUUUAUUCUUCUGGGCCAAACUAUUCCAAUUGUGUACAAUUGAAGGUACUAUUGUGCAUCUGUUGUGUGUACUUCGGUGUGUGUGUGUGUAACAUGAAGUGGACACUUAAUAAACUUGUGCGGUGCUAA